rnacentral:rRNA from 1 species
UACGUAGGGCGCAAGCGUUGUCCGGAAUUAUUGGGCGUAAAGAGCUCGUAGGCGGUUUGUCGCGUCUGCUGUGAAAACCUCAGGCUCAACCUGGGGCUUGCAGUGGGUACGGGCAGACUAGAGUGCGGUAGGGGUGACUGGAAUUCCUGGUGUAGCGGUGGAAUGCGCAGAUAUCAGGAGGAACACCGAUGGCGAAGGCAGGUCACUGGGCCGCAACUGACGCUGGAGGAGCGAAAGCGUGGGGAGCAAACAGG